rnacentral:rRNA from 1 species
GCCCUAAAGCGGGCCCAUUCAUGCGCAUAACUUUUAAUUACAUAUAUCCGCCCCCCCGCCCCACAAUUAAACCAUUUUUCCUCCCCAGUAGGGGUGACCGAACAGGACCUUGGAGCCAUACUGUUAGUACCGCAAGGGAAAGCUGAAAGAGAUUUGAAACAGAUCAUCAAGCAUCCCAAAGCAGUGCCGAGCACCCGUACCUUUUGCAUCAUGAUCUAGCUAGCCCACCGGGGCAAGGAGCCCCCUAGUCCCCCAACCCGAAACCUGUCGAGCUACCCCGGGGCAGUCUGUAGAAGGACCAACUCGUCUCUGUGGCAAAAGAGUGAGAAGACCCCCAGGUAGAGGUGAUAGACCUACCGAGUCAGGUUAUAGCUGGUUGCUCGAGAAUUGAAUAUCAGUCCAGCCCCCCCAGCCCCUUUCUACCUUAGCGCUGCUACAAAAGUCCAGGGCCACACAGGGGAGUCAGUCAAGAGAGGUACAGCUCUCUUGAUCAGGGAGUCAACCCCGCCAGGAAGCCAAGACGCCAAGGCCCGGGCUUUAGUGGGCCUGGAAGCAGCCACCUACCCAGAAAGCGUUACAGCUCAAGCCCUACUCCGCCUAUUAUCACCCGAUUCAACGCAAUGCUCCUAAAACUAUCGAGCCGUUCUAUGACCUCAUAGAAGUAUUUAUGCUAGAAUGAGUAACAAGGGGCAAAGACCCCCUCCUGAAUCAAGUGUAAGUCGGCCUGGACACACCUCCGAUCAUUACCGGCCCCAAUUAAGAGGGUAUUUGGACCCACCAGAACACCUAGAAGUACCCCCCAUCCCCGCCGUUAUCCCCACACUGGUGAUUUAAUAGGACAGAUUUAAAGAGAAGAAAGGAACUCGGCAAACCUAAACCUCGCCUGUUUACCAAAAACAUCGCCUCCCGACCACCCCACAUGCGAGGUCCCGCCUGCCCCGUGACAACAGUUUAACGGCCGCGGUAUUUUAACCGUGCAAAGGUAGCGCAAUCAAUUGUCUUUUAAAUGAAGACCUGUAUGAAUGGCAUAACGAGGGUUUUGCUGUCUCUCUUCUCAGACCAGUGAAAUUGAUCUUCCCGUGCAGAAGCGGGUAUUCCUACACAAGACGAGAAGACCCUAUGGAGCUUCAGAAGUUUGGCAGCCGUCGCCAGCGAGCCCCCUAACCACCACGGCAGUGCCAUCUCUUCUUCGGUUGGGGCGACCACGGGGGAUAAAAAAGCCCCCGAGCAGACAUUAUGACUAAGGACCACCACCCGCAGCAUCAAGACUCUUGACUGACACUGAUCCGGCCAAGGCCGAUCAACGGACCAAGUUACCCUAGGGAUAACAGCGCAAUCCUCUCUCAGAGUCCCUAUCGAAGAGUGGGUUUACGACCUCGAUGUUGGAUCAGGACAUCCCGAUGGUGCAGCCGCUAUURAGGGUUCGUUUGUUCAACGAUUAAAGUCCUACGUGAUCUGAGUUCAGACCGGAGCAAUCCAGGUCAGUUUCUAUCUGUGACGCGACUGCUCCCGGUACGAAAGGAUCGGAGUGGUGGGGCCUAUGUUCCAGGCAAGCCCCCUCCCUCCCCAAUGACCUCAUCUCAAUUGGCUAUGGGAAGCCCCCAGAGCCAGGAGAUAUUUGCG